rnacentral:rRNA from 1 species
UUGGAGGGCAAGUCUGGUGCCAGCAGCCGCGGUAAUUCCAGCUCCAAUAGCGUAUAUUAAAGUUGCUGCAGUUAAAAAGCUCGUAGUUGAAUUUCGGGAUUAGUACGUUGGUCGUGCCUUAGGUACGUACUGGUGUUACUGGUUCCUACCUUCUGACGAACCAUCAUGUCAUUAAUUUGGUGUGGUGGGGAAUCAGGACUGUUACUUUGAAAAAAUUAGAGUGUUUAAAGCAGGCUCGCGCUUGAAUACAUUAGCAUGGAAUAAUGAAAUAGGACGUUGAUCCUAUUUUGUUGGUUUCUAGGAUUGACGUAAUGAUUAAUAGGGAUAGUUGGGGGCAUUAGUAUUCAAUUGUCAGAGGUGAAAUUCUUGGAUUUAUUGAAGACUGACUACUGCGAAAGCAUUUGUCAAGGAUGUUUUCAUUAAUCAAGAACGAAAGUUAGGGGAUCGAAGACGAUCAGAUACCGUCGUAGUCUUAACCAUAAACUAUGCCGACUAGGGAUCGGAUGAUGUUAUUUUUAAUGACUCAUUCGGCGCCUUACGGGAAAC